CCUACGGGUGGCAGCAGUGGGGGAUAUUGCACAAUGGGGGGAACCCUGAUGCAGCGACGCCGCGUGUGGGAAGACGGUCCUCUGGAUUGUAAACCACUGUCCCCAGGGACGAAAAUGACGGUACCUGGGGAGGAAGCUCCGGCUAACUACGUGCCAGCAGCCGCGGUAAUACGUGGGGAGCGAGCGUUGUCCGGAAUUACUGGGUGUAAAGGGAGCGUAGGCGGGGGUGCAAGUUGGGUGUCAAAACUACCGGCACAACUGGUAGUCGCACUCAAAACUGCAGCUCUUGAGUGAAGUAGAGGCAGGCGGAAUUCCUAGUGUAGCGGUGAAAUGCGUAGAUAUUAGGAGGAACACCAGUGGCGAAGGCGGCCUGCUGGGCUGUGACUGACGCUGAGGCUCGAAAGUGUGGGGAGCAAACAGGAUUAGAUACCCCUGUAGUC
rnacentral:rRNA from 1 species